rnacentral:rRNA from 1 species
UACGAAGGGGGCCAGCGUUGUUCGGAAUUACUGGGCGUAAAGGGCGCGUAGGCGGUGUGUCAAGUCAGGCGUGAAAGCCCCGGGCUCAACCUGGGAACCGCGCUUGAGACUGGCACGCUCGAGUUCGGGAGAGGAUGGUGGAAUUCCCAGUGUAGAGGUGAAAUUCGUAGAUAUUGGGAAGAACACCGAUGGCGAAGGCAGCCAUCUGGACCGACACUGACGCUGAGGCGCGAAAGCGUGGGGAGCAAACAGG